rnacentral:lncRNA from 1 species
CUGUCACACAUUCAUAAGAACCUCAUAAUCUCAUAACAAUAUGGAGAACUAGCUGUACCAUGGAUCUGUACAUAAGUCCUCUCUGUGUUUUCAUUUUUUUUCUGUAGUUUAACAACACAUUGACCAUGGAGUGUUCAGAUAUUAUUCUGACAGAGUUAGGUCAGCUGUGAAAGAGAGGCUUGGCUGCAAUUUGUGAACAUAACGACCAUAGUUUGUCUAGAAUAUUUUCAUUAGCGUCACCAGUUGUCCAUGCAAGAGCAUGACCCUUGUUUCAUUUGAUGGAUCAUUGUUCCAUCAUUCAAACAUAUAUCUCUGUUGUAAAUCUUCACAAAUACUUGAAAGAAGAAUGACAACCAGCAUGCAUCCGAAGAUUACUGAUUUGUUUAUUGGCAUUUAGGGCCUUAGAAUAAAUUUAGCAACUCAAAGGCUAUAGAAACCAUCUCACUAUGUUGGGAGGAGUCUUUCCCCACUCAUAUUGUGUCUGAAAAAACUACACUGCUACUUUGUACGCUUGUGCUUAGGUUUGAGGCCUAUAACCUUUCUCACCAUUGCAGCCCUUUUCUGUUUCCUUUGAUCUGAAAAUAUGCCAGACAAGACGAGGCUUUCAUUUUCAGGCUUGUAGCUAGGAUCAAACCGAAGAAGUUCCUCCUCUGCAAGUUUUCCAAUCUUCAUAUUUCCACGGAUCUCACAUUCUCUCCUAAGAGAAGCCCAGACCACACUAUUUGCUUUGAAAGGCAUGUUCUGGAUAAAAUGGUAAUAUUUGGGAGAGGAUGACUAAUCUAAUCUUGCCAACAUGCUCAUAUAUGUUUGUUGACUUUGACCUGGAUGCCGGUGACACUCUUUUUCAUUCAGUUUGGAGUUGGUUUGCAUUGUUUCUGCAAAAGAAAUUUGUCUGAAUGUCGUAAAGAACAGUUGGUCAUGACUCAUAUGGGUUACAGUGCAUCAUAUGUACUCUGCCCCUACACAAUAUAUAUCUCAUUAAUUAUUUCCAUGGUAUCAUAAGUCAAGGAAUAAUUUGUUUUGUUGUUUUCUGAUGUGAACUAUAUGAUAUGCACAUUUCACUCCGUUUGUGCUACUUUCUACUCUAAUUUACAUGUCGAUAUUCUAGUUUUCUGAAUCUUAAUCCAGUAACUGUAAAUAGGUCUUGAGCGCUAGUUUUGUAUGUGAGUAGUCACAUGAUGGUGGCAUUAUUCUGAACAUGCCCAAUUUUUAUAAUAGUAAAAUCCCAGUUUGUUUUUUGCCAUUCAUGUUUUAUACAAUUACUGUUUUUGCCAUUAUCUCUAUGAAUGAAUGAAUUCACCGGUGGCUUUUUUAUUCUUUGUAGGAAUGACAUACAAGAGGACCAGGGAUGAACCAUGAAGAUGGCAGUUUGCGUCAGCUGGACAUUUUGUGUAAUGGAGCCAAAAUAAUGUGUCUUUUAGCUAUCAUUUUGUAAACCUUAUGGUAUCUUGUCAACUGGGUAUUAUGUGUAAUGGAGCAAACAAUGAAUAGAGGUCUAUCAUUUUGUAAACCUAUCAGGUGUUUUGGUGGCUGAAACAUAAAUAUUCCCUCCUUUUAGUUAGUUACCUAUAUUAUUCUUUGGUUCUGGUUUAAUAUUGAUUGUUAUUGUUUGGCAAGUUACUGUAACUUGAUUGAUAUUGUUUGGCAAGGCACAAGCCAAAUAAUGGAUGGAAAUUAAAUAUAUCUUGCUCUGCUAAACAAAAGGCCAUCGACCUGUCGGUCGGCAAAAGAUAACAACGUCCUACUGUUGGUCAGGAAAGGUUUAUGGCAGGGCCUAGAGAAU